rnacentral:rRNA from 1 species
GACGAACGCUGGCGGCGUGCUUAACACAUGCAAGUCGAACGGAAAGGCCCCGCUUUUGUGGGGUGCUCGAGUGGCGAACGGGUGAGUAACACGUGAGUAACCUGCCCCUGACUUUGGGAUAACUUCAUGAAACUGGGGCUAAUACCGGAUAGGAGCUCCCGCUGCAUGGUGGGGGUUGGAAAGUUUCGGCGGUUGGGGGUGGACUCGCGGCUUAUCAGCUUGUUGGUGUGGUAGUGGCUUACCAAGGCUUUGAAGGGUAGCCGGCCUGAGAGGGUGACCGGCCACACUGGGACUGGGAUACGGCCCAGACUCCUACGGGAGGCAGCAGUGGGGAAUAUUGCACAAUGGGCGGAAGCCUGAUGCAGCCACGCCGCGUGCGGGAUGACGGCAUUCGGGUUGUAUACCGCUUUCGCCUGUGACGAAGCGUGAGUGACGGUAAUGGGUAAAGAAGCACCGGCUAACUACGUG